rnacentral:rRNA from 1 species
CACGUAGGGGGCGAGCGUUGUCCGGAAUCAUUGGGCGUAAAGAGCUCGUAGGCGGCUCGGUAAGUCGGGUGUGAAACCCCCAGGCUCAACCUGGGGACGCCACCCGAUACUGCUGUGGCUAGAGUCCAGUAGGGGAGUGUGGAAUUCCCGGUGUAGCGGUGAAAUGCGCAGAUAUCGGGAGGAACACCAGUGGCGAAGGCGGGUCUCUGGGCAACAACUGACGCUGAGGAGCGAAAAGCGUGGGGAGCGAACAGG